UUAAGCGACUAAGCGUACACGGUGGAUGCCCUGGCAGUCAGAGGCGAUGAAGGACGUGCUAAUCUGCGAUAAGCGUCGGUAAGGUGAUAUGAACCGUUAUAACCGGCGAUUUCCGAAUGGGGAAACCCAGUGUGUUUCGACACACUAUCAUUAACUGAAUCCAUAGGUUAAUGAGGCGAACCGGGGGAACUGAAACAUCUAAGUACCCCGAGGAAAAGAAAUCAACCGAGAUUCCCCCAGUAGCGGCGAGCGAACGGGGAGCAGCCCAGAGCCUGAAUCAGUGUGUGUGUUAGUGGAAGCGUCUGGAAAGGCGCGCGAUACAGGGUGACAGCCCCGUACACAAAAAUGCACAUGCUGUGAGCUCGAUGAGUAGGGCGGGACACGUGGUAUCCUGUCUGAAUAUGGGGGGACCAUCCUCCAAGGCUAAAUACUCCUGACUGACCGAUAGUGAACCAGUACCGUGAGGGAAAGGCGAAAAGAACCCCGGCGAGGGGAGUGAAAAAGAACCUGAAACCGUGUACGUACAAGCAGUGGGAGCACGCUUAGGCGUGUGACUGCGUACCUUUUGUAUAAUGGGUCAGCGACUUAUAUUCUGUAGCAAGGUUAACCGAAUAGGGGAGCCGAAGGGAAACCGAGUCUUAACUGGGCGUUAAGUUGCAGGGUAUAGACCCGAAACCCGGUGAUCUAGCCAUGGGCAGGUUGAAGGUUGGGUAACACUAACUGGAGGACCGAACCGACUAAUGUUGAAAAAUUAGCGGAUGACUUGUGGCUGGGGGUGAAAGGCCAAUCAAACCGGGAGAUAGCUGGUUCUCCCCGAAAGCUAUUUAGGUAGCGCCUCGUGAAUUCAUCUCCGGGGGUAGAGCACUGUUUCGGCAAGGGGGUCAUCCCGACUUACCAACCCGAUGCAAACUGCGAAUACCGGAGAAUGUUAUCACGGGAGACACACGGCGGGUGCUAACGUCCGUCGUGAAGAGGGAAACAACCCAGACCGCCAGCUAAGGUCCCAAAGUCAUGGUUAAGUGGGAAACGAUGUGGGAAGGCCCAGACAGCCAGGAUGUUGGCUUAGAAGCAGCCAUCAUUUAAAGAAAGCGUAAUAGCUCACUGGUCGAGUCGGCCUGCGCGGAAGAUGUAACGGGGCUAAACCAUGCACCGAAGCUGCGGCAGCGACGCUUAUGCGUUGUUGGGUAGGGGAGCGUUCUGUAAGCCUGCGAAGGUGUGCUGUGAGGCAUGCUGGAGGUAUCAGAAGUGCGAAUGCUGACAUAAGUAACGAUAAAGCGGGUGAAAAGCCCGCUCGCCGGAAGACCAAGGGUUCCUGUCCAACGUUAAUCGGGGCAGGGUGAGUCGACCCCUAAGGCGAGGCCGAAAGGCGUAGUCGAUGGGAAACAGGUUAAUAUUCCUGUACUUGGUGUUACUGCGAAGGGGGGACGGAGAAGGCUAUGUUGGCCGGGCGACGGUUGUCCCGGUUUAAGCGUGUAGGCUGGUUUUCCAGGCAAAUCCGGAAAAUCAAGGCUGAGGCGUGAUGACGAGGCACUACGGUGCUGAAGCAACAAAUGCCCUGCUUCCAGGAAAAGCCUCUAAGCAUCAGGUAACAUCAAAUCGUACCCCAAACCGACACAGGUGGUCAGGUAGAGAAUACCAAGGCGCUUGAGAGAACUCGGGUGAAGGAACUAGGCAAAAUGGUGCCGUAACUUCGGGAGAAGGCACGCUGAUAUGUAGGUGAAGCGACUUGCUCGUGGAGCUGAAAUCAGUCGAAGAUACCAGCUGGCUGCAACUGUUUAUUAAAAACACAGCACUGUGCAAACACGAAAGUGGACGUAUACGGUGUGACGCCUGCCCGGUGCCGGAAGGUUAAUUGAUGGGGUCAGCGCAAGCGAAGCUCUUGAUCGAAGCCCCGGUAAACGGCGGCCGUAACUAUAACGGUCCUAAGGUAGCGAAAUUCCUUGUCGGGUAAGUUCCGACCUGCACGAAUGGCGUAAUGAUGGCCAGGCUGUCUCCACCCGAGACUCAGUGAAAUUGAACUCGCUGUGAAGAUGCAGUGUACCCGCGGCAAGACGGAAAGACCCCGUGAACCUUUACUAUAGCUUGACACUGAACAUUGAGCCUUGAUGUGUAGGAUAGGUGGGAGGCUUUGAAGUGUGGACGCCAGUUGAUGUUCUAACGUUGGCCCCUAAUCGGGGUUGCGGACAGUGUCUGGUGGGUAGUUUGACUGGGGCGGUCUCCUCCUAAAGAGUAACGGAGGAGCACGAAGGUUGGCUAAUCCUGGUCGGACAUCAGGAGGUUAGUGCAAUGGCAUAAGCCAGCUUGACUGCGAGCGUGACGGCGCGAGCAGGUGCGAAAGCAGGUCAUAGUGAUCCGGUGGUUCUGAAUGGAAGGGCCAUCGCUCAACGGAUAAAAGGUACUCCGGGGAUAACAGGCUGAUACCGCCCAAGAGUUCAUAUCGACGGCGGUGUUUGGCACCUCGAUGUCGGCUCAUCACAUCCUGGGGCUGAAGUAGGUCCCAAGGGUAUGGCUGUUCGCCAUUUAAAGUGGUACGCGAGCUGGGUUUAGAACGUCGUGAGACAGUUCGGUCCCUAUCUGCCGUGGGCGCUGGAGAACUGAGGGGGGCUGCUCCUAGUACGAGAGGACCGGAGUGGACGCAUCACUGGUGUUCGGGUUGUCAUGCCAAUGGCACUGCCCGGUAGCUAAAUGCGGAAGAGAUAAGUGCUGAAAGCAUCUAAGCACGAAACUUGCCCCGAGAUGAGUUCUCCCUGACUCCUUGAGAGUCCUGAAGGAACGUUGAAGACGACGACGUUGAUAGGCCGGGUGUGUAAGCGCAGCGAUGCGUUGAGCUAACCGGUACUAAUGAACCGUGAGGCUUAACCUU
rnacentral:rRNA from 1 species